GUGGCAUAAUGAAGGCCUGCGCUGCAAACAGCACACUGUUGGCACAGGCUGGAUGCUCAGCCAC
rfam:Danio rerio chromosome 14 genomic contig CTG1748, GRCz11 reference primary assembly.